AUCAUUAAUUAGGUUAUUAAUAACGAAAAAAUAAUUUUCAUCGCUAAUAAUUUGAUCAAAAAAUAAAAAAUUUAUUUACGAUGAAAAAUAUUCAUCAAGAACGUCAAAGAAAGGUGACUUAGACUUCUCCUUCGACUGAGACGGAGACUGAACGAGCUGCUUCGAAAAAUCAUAUGGAUCUUUUGGCUCGCAAUAAAGCUAGGGUCCUGAUCGAGCAAGACGUGGUCCUAUCUAUCUACCUCUCCAGACACAAUAUCUUGAGUACCUAUGAUUUGGAAAAGGAAGAACCCCCAGAUGGGGCCCUAGUGCCAAUUCGAAGACUGACAUCUUACAACAUUGCUUCAAAGAAAGGCCAAUCGAGGGCUGGCCCAAAAUAGGAAAAGUCCCA
rnacentral:lncRNA from 1 species